rnacentral:rRNA from 1 species
CCUACGGGGGCUGCAGUGGGGAAUAUUGGACAAUGGGCGAAAGCCUGAUCCAGCCAUGCCGCGUGUGUGAAGAAGGCCUUCGGGUUGUAAAGCACUUUCAGUGGGGAAGAAAGCCUUGGGGCUAAUACCCUCGAGGAAGGACAUCACCCACAGAAGAAGCACCGGCUAACUCCGUGCCAGCAGCCGCGGUAAUACGGAGGGUGCGAGCGUUAAUCGGAAUUACUGGGCGUAAAGCGCGCGUAGGCGGUCUGAUAAGCCGGUUGUGAAAGCCCCGGGCUCAACCUGGGAACGGCAUCCGGAACUGUCAGGCUAGAGUGCAGGAGAGGAAGGUAGAAUUCCCGGUGUAGCGGUGAAAUGCGUAGAGAUCGGGAGGAAUACCAGAGGCGAAGGCGGCCUUCUGGACUGACACUGACGCUGAGGUGCGAAAGCGUGGGUAGCAAACAGGAUUAGAUACCCCGGUAGUC